AUGGAUCCAAGCCCAUUUAUCAUAUGUUGGAAUGUGAGGGGGCUGGACAACCUAGCCAAACGAGAUGUUGUGAGAGGUUUCAUGAAUACCAUUAGGGCGAAUGUAGCUUGUUUAUAGGAGACUAAACUUGAUGUAAUUGAUCACUACUCAGUUAUGCAAUGCUUGGGCCCGUCCUUUGAUGGCUAUGCUUAUUUGCCGACUAUUGAGACUAGGGGAGGAAUCAUACUUGCUUGGGACUCUUCUGUGGUGGAUGUGGAUCAGCUACAGCUGGACACUGAAUUUAGAACAUGCAUGAUUCAUACUAAAGCGGGAGAACAAUGGUGGCUAAUGGUUGUUUAUGCUCCGGAAGGAGAUGUGCUCAAAACAACCUUCUUGGAGCAGCUAAACAUGCGGAGAGAGCUCUGUCCAGGACCGUGGAUGGCCUUGGGCGAUUUUAACAUGAUAUUGCAAGCGUUUGAGAACAACAAUGCUAACCUAAACCGAAGCAUGAUGGGAAAGUUUAGGGCUUUCAUGGAUAACAACGAGCUCAAGGAAGUGUACAUGCAUGGGCGUAGAUUCACUUGGUCAAAUGAGAGGGACUCGCCUACCAUGACCAAGAUUGAUAGAGUGCUAGUCUUGGUGGAUUGGGAGUUGGCGAACCCGAAUUGUCUUCUCCAAGAUUUAUCAUCCGAUGUGUCUGACCAUGCCCCGUUACACCUUCACAUGGCAGCCAUGUUCUACCCUAAAAGAGAUUCCGUUUUGAGCUAUAUUGGACUAAGCUAG
rnacentral:rRNA from 1 species